CAGAAAACAGGACCAGUAGCACUGAUCGCUGCGAAGGCGAGAGGGCAUGAGCAACUAUGGCUCUGGUCUGUGGUUCAACCUCAGUGACGUUCCCCUCGACUUCAGCCCCAUCUCUUUCUCCUCACAAGAGCUCAAAUGCUAAAUCCUCGUUUCUUGGAUUCCGAUUGGCAUUAUCGAAGUCUUCUAUCUGGCCCAGUGUUCCCGUUAACUCCAGGGAAAGUCUUCAGGUUCGUUGCCUGGAUCUCUCCAUUGCUCCAAAAGAUGAACGAUUUAUGUUCGAGGAGUCCAAAGCCAAUGGCCCAGACAUUUGGAACAUGACCUCGUAUCCAAAAGCUGCAGAUCAUGUGAAUACAGAUAAACCAUGGUGCAUUGUUGAUGCUUCAGACAAAAUUCUCGGGAGAUUAGCAUCGACAAUUGCUAUUUAUAUCAGAGGGAAAAAUCUGGCAGCCUAUACUCCCAGCGUGGACAUGGGUGCCUUUGCAAUUGUGGUGAUUGCAGAAAAAGUUGCUGUAUCUGGGAAAAAGAGGACCCAAAAGCUUUAUAGGAGACAUUCUGGACGACCUGGUGGUAUGAAAGUGGAGACAUUUGCCCAACUACAGCAGAGAAUUCCAGAAAGAAUUAUUGAACAUGCUGUUCGUGGCAUGCUUCCUAAAGGAAGGAAAUCUGUUCACCCACCUAAAGGUUUUUAAGGGCCCAGAUCACCCACAUCAGGCCCAAAAGCCCGUUGAGUUGCCGAUAAGGGAUAAAAGAAUACAAAAGCCGAGGUAGACACAGCUGAGAUGUACAGAGGAUGAGAUAUGACAACAUACAAGAGUUCAUUCCAAGAAUCAGGAGCACCAGCUAGACACCAGUGACUACAGUCAACAUAAGAAGCACCUCGGCCUGUGAAGAUGGAAGGAUGGCCAUCAACCCUAAGCUGUGUGAGCAUGGUUAUGUCAAGCAAAUGAACUGGUGUGCUCAUGUUCCGCAGAAUGCUCUUCACUAUGUCAACGCCGGGAUACUGCGGCUCUGCCCCUUGCUCUGGCCGAGUUUUUCCCAGGC